ACGGUCAUAGGUUAAUGGUAGACUAUUCGUUUUCCACACGAAGUAUGUCGAUUCAAGUUCGACUGACUGUA
rnacentral:tRNA from 1 species